rnacentral:misc_RNA from 1 species
GAUGAAGAACGUAGCGAAAUGCGAUACUUGGUGUGAAUUGCAGAAUCCCGUGAACCAUCGAGUCUUUGAACGCAAGUUGCGCCCGAAGCCUCUAGGCCGAGGGCACGCCUGCCUGGGCGUCACACGCCGUUGCCCCCCCAUCUACUCCUUCGGGAUUGCGGGGGGGCGGAUGAUGGCCUCCCGUGCGCCUAGCCGCGCGGUUGGCAUAAAUACCAAGUCCUCGGCGACGCACGCCACGACAAUCGGUGGUUGCGAAACCUCGGUUGCCCGUCGUGUGCGUUCGUCGCGCAUCGAGGGCUCGAAAAAAUGCUCGGCUCCGGCUGGGCUUUCAACGCGACCCCAGGUCAGGCGGGGUUACCCGCUGAAUUUAAGCAUAUCAAUAAGCGGAGGA